rnacentral:rRNA from 1 species
AGUGAACGCUGGCGGUAGGCCUAACACAUGCAAGUCGAACGGCAGCACAGUAAGAGCUUGCUCUUACGGGUGGCGAGUGGCGGACGGGUGAGGAAUACAUCGGAAUCUACUUUUUCGUGGGGGAUAACGUAGGGAAACUUACGCUAAUACCGCAUACGACCUACGGGUGAAAGCAGGGGAUAUUCGGACCUUGCGCGAUUGAAUGAGCCGAUGUCGGAUUAGCUAGUUGGCGGGGUAAAGGCCCACCAAGGCGACGAUCCGUAGCUGGUCUGAGAGGAUGAUCAGCCACACUGGAACUGAGACACGGUCCAGACUCCUACGGGAGGCAGCAGUGGGGAAUAUUGGACAAUGGGCGCAAGCCUGAUCCAGCCAUACCGCGUGGGUGAAGAAGGCCUUCGGGUUGUAAAGCCCUUUUGUUGGGAAAGAAAAGCAGCAGGUGAAUACCCCGCUGUUCUGACGGUACCCAAAGAAUAAGCACCGGCUAACUUCGUG